rnacentral:lncRNA from 1 species
AUGUUAGGUUUUGGCUUCUAUCUUCCAUCACAAGACUCUACCUUCCCCAUCCCUAGAUUGCCUCCUGAAACAUCUUCAUCAUCAAGGUACAUCUAUCUUGGAUUGUGUAACAGUGAAAUAAAAGCUGCAAGGAUGCUUGCGUCAAGUUAAUUGUCCAUUAGGCAACACUUCCGAUGAUACGAGAACAAGGGUUAAGCACUGCACACGUAUGACACGAGGAACUCAGACGCCUCAGGCCCACCCUCUCAACCUGAGUGGUGUUGUGGCUUUGGUUUUCAUCCUGUUGACCAGGGACAACAAUAGAGAAGAUUUUGGGAUCUACUCCACAUUGGGCAUGGCAUGUUUUUGUCCACAUGCAGCUUCUAACUUCAUUGCUGUCAUAGAAUCAUUAGUAUUGGUGGAACAGACCCAUCAGGUCAUUGAUCAUUAUUUAAGAAAGGUAUUCGCAAACUGGAGUUUGUAGUGUUGUUUUCGGAAGCAGGUUCAGAAGCCAAGUUUUUGGUCACCAUCCUGUAUCCAGGUUAGAAUCAUUAGAUUCUAGAGACAGCUAUCAUGGUCUGGUUUUUGGUCAUGUUGUCAAGGUUAGAGGCUGUUUGGAUUGUGUUUUCGAACUGAUGUUCUUUUUAGCUUUCAGUCUUUGGAUAAGGGAUUGGAUAGUGUUUAAUGAUCCUUUAUCGCACUAUCUCCUAAGGUGACAUCAGCUUUGUUGCGCUUUCAAAUAUGCAUAAUGGAUUCAUUUGUUAAUUCUGUAAGCAUCCA